rnacentral:rRNA from 1 species
CCUACGGGUGGCAGCAGUGGGGGAUAUUGCACAAUGGGGGAAACCCUGAUGCAGCGACGCCGCGUGGGUGAAGAAGCGCCUCGGCGCGUAAAGCCCUGUCAGCAGGGAAGAAAAUGACGGUACCUGAAGAAGAAGCCCCGGCUAACUACGUGCCAGCAGCCGCGGUAAUACGUAGGGGGCAAGCGUUAUCCGGAUUUACUGGGUGUAAAGGGGGCGCAGAGGGCGAUGCAAGCCAGGGGUGAAAGCCCGGGGCCAAACCCCGGGACUGCUCUUGGAACUGCGUGGCGAGAGUGCAGGAGGGGCAGGCGGAAUUCCUGGUGUAGCGGUGAAAUGCGUAGAUAGCAGGAGGAACACCGGUGGCGAAGGCGGCCUGCUGGACUGCAACUGACGUUGAGGCCCGAAAGCGUGGGGAGCAAACAGGAUUAGAUACCCCAGUAGU